GAUUGCCUCAGUAACGGCGAGUGAAGCGGCAAAAGCUCAAAUUUUAAAGCUGGCACCUCCGGUGUCCGCGUUGUAAUUUUGUGAGGCAUCUCCGGGUAGGGCGCCGGCCUAAGUUCCUUGGAACAGGACGUCAUAGAGGGUGAGAAUCCCGUGCUUGGCUGGCUGUCCCCGUCCAUGUGAGGUGUCUUCGACGAGUCGAGUUGUUUGGGAAUGCAGCUCAAAAUGGGUGGUAAAUUUCAUCUAAAGCUAAAUAUUGGUGGGAGACCGAUAGCGCACAAGUAGAGUGAUCGAAAGAUGAAAAGCACUUUGAAAAUAGAGUUAAAAAGUACGUGAAAUUGUUGAAAGGGAAGCGCUUGAGACCAGACUUCGGUGGGGAGUGAUCAGCUGUCCUUCUGGGCGGUGCACUUGCUCCCCUCCGGGCCAGCAUCGGUUGGGACGGCGGGAUAAAGGUCCUGGGAAUGUGGCUCCUUUCGGGGAGUGUUAUAGCCCGGGUGAAUGCCGUCAGCCCCGACCGAGGACCGCGCCUUCGGGCUAGGAUG
rnacentral:rRNA from 1 species